rnacentral:misc_RNA from 1 species
UCAGCGUUUGAGAGAAUGCCUGGCCAUACCGUAUAGUCACACUUAUUUGCUAUUGUAAAGGUAGUUGAAACAACUCCUGAUAUGAAAGAAUGCGCAACAAACAGAGAGAACAUAGCAAUCGAUAAUGUAAGUUGAGCCAUUGAUGCAGAACAAAAAGCCUAUAAAGAAUAUUAAUUAUAUAUAAUAUAUAAUUAAGGGAGAGAAGGAGAGGAAGUUGUGAGAAUUCUUCUUCUUCUUCUUCUUCCAGAUGAAAUUGUAG